GAUGAACGCUAGCGGGAGGCCUAAUACAUGCAAGUCGAGCGGUAGAGUGACUUCGGUUGCUUGAGAGCGGCGAACGGGUGAGUAACGCGUACACAAUCUACCUUUAAGAGGGGAAUAGCCCUGGGAAACUGGGAUUAAUGCCCCAUGGCAUCACGAGACGGCAUCGUUUUGUGAUUAAAGCUGAGGUGCUUAGAGAUGAGUGUGCGUCUGAUUAGCUAGUUGGUGCGGUAACGGCGCACCAAGGCGACGAUCAGUAGGGGGCGUGAGAGCGUGGACCCCCACACGGGUACUGAGACACGGACCCGACUCCUACGGGAGGCAGCAGUAAGGAAUAUUGGUCAAUGGAGGAAACUCUGAACCAGCCAUCCCGCGUGCAGGACGAAGGCCCUAUGGGUUGUAAACUGCUUUAGACUGGGAAGAAACCCCUCAAUGCGUUGGGGGCUGACGGUAUCAGUAGAAUAAGCACCGGCUAACUCCGUGCCAGCAGCCGCGGUAAAG
rnacentral:rRNA from 1 species